AUGUACCUCAUCUACCUACGUUAUACAGGUAUGUACCUCAUCUACCUACUUUAUACAGGUAUGUAGGUCAUCUACCUACGUUAUACAGGUAUGUAGGUCAUCUACCUACGUUAUAUAGCUUUGUAGGUCAUACACCUACGUUAUAUAGCUUUGUAGGUCAUACACCUACGUUAUAUAGGUAUGUACCUCAUCUACCUACGUUAUAUAGGUAUGUACCUCAUCUACCUACGUUAUACAGGUAUGUACCUCAUCUACCUACUUUAUACAGGUAUGUAGGUCAUCUACCUACGUUAUACAGGUAUGUAGGUCAUCUACCUACGUUAUAUAGCUUUGUAGGUCAUACACCUACGUUAUAUAGGUAUACAGGUCAUCUACCUACGUUAUACAGGUAUGUAGGUCAUCUACCUACGUUAUACAGGUAUGUAGGUCAUCUACAUACGUUAUAUAGGUAUGUAGGUCAUCUACCUACGUUAUAUAGGUAUGUAGGUCAUCUACCUACGUUAUACAGGUAUGUAGGUCAUCUACCUACGUUAUAUAGGUAUGUAGGUC
ensembl:lncRNA